rfam:Paenibacillus sp. FSL A5-0031 NODE_45_length_13493_cov_1.81454_ID_5209, whole genome shotgun sequence.
CCUAACUUCUUGUCCAAAUUGGUAGGGGAGGUUCCUACUAAAGAAUGAAUGUUGGCAUUCUUUCCCUGAUCCUCCGACAUGCAUUCAUCAGUUACUUGAUGGAUGUAUGAAGCUCGGUGAAGUCGGCGAAAAUCAGACCUGUGAAGUGGUUAGAGAAAGUAGUCGGGGGGCUAUAAA